CCGACAAGAUGUUCGCAGCUGCAUGGAUUCCUCACGUCUCCCCCCGAGCUGGGCUGUCCUUAUCUUUUAUACUAAUUACUACGUAUUUCUUGUUUACUAUUUCUUACCAAUGUCUAUCACUAUUACUAAAAAGGUCAUCUUUACUUUGACCCAAUCCUCACUAACUACUUUGUGCCACGUCAAUGCAGCAGAACUGUCUCCAAGGGAUGUCUCUCCCCUUGGAAACCCUGACUAGGCUGUGGGGGUAUUGCCCAUCCGGAUGUUUGAUUCAAACUGCAGGGACGUCGUUGCACGGCUCCAGGUCCCUUUCCUGCGUCGGCAAAGCCUCCUCAGAACUCCCUCAAAGCGCUUCUUCGACGGAUCCAAGCGCCUCAGCUCCUGCAGCCCCGGAUCCCUGCGCUCUGUGGGCCACGGCCGUGCCUCUGCUGAGCCACCUGCCCCAGGACCUGCCUGACCCUGCAGCUCUGAGCCACCAGAAUGUGUCCUCCAACCCACCGGUGGAUAUUUGGGUUGGCCCUCAGUGAGCAGAGCUCUGCUGCUGCCCUGCCUGAGGCUAACACAGGUGAAGUGAACAGCCCCUCUGCCCCAGGCAUUUUCCCUGAUACCUCCUGGUGCUGAAGGACAGCUCAGACAUCUCAUUAUUCACUGCUGCUGAUGGAGCUCUGGCACCGAGAUCCCAAUGGCUGCUGCUUCCUCAGCCAGGGAUAUUUUGCCAAUGCUGCUCCCUGAAAACUCCAGCUAAAAACUGGGAAAAAACUCUGUCCCCCUUGGAGGUGUAGCUUGUGGAAGAUGCUCCUCCUCUGUUCCAUUCCUCUCAUUCCUGCCCAUGGGGCACACAGUGAGUCGUGCCCUUGCAAACCUGCAUCUCUCUAAAACACAUUUUUCCUUUCUCCAUGCCUGCCAGGAUCGAGGGCAGCUCCGUGGCGGGUUGAUCUGCUGCUGCAUUGACAUGGCAAAGGCUGGGGGUGAAAACCCCACAGCCUCCAGACGAGGCCCAUAGAGCUUUUAGGAUGCAGUUUUCCCAAACUCUGCCCAUCACAAAGCAAACAAAGACCCCCAGCCAGGAGGCAGCUGGCUCAGGGGUGAGCAUCGAUCGCUGGCUGCUGGGUGAGACCCAGGCAGAGCCCCAGCAGGGUCGGGAGGCAGCUCCAGCCCUCCCAGCUUCCAAUCACGGGGCUGGGAAGGAAACCCAGCCUGCUUUGGAAUCAAUCAUUUGACAGCUGCUGUCAGCCUUCUGACACCCAGCCCCGCCGGUGAGGACCCCAGCAGGAAGCCUCGUGGAUCUCAGCUUGUUUUGGUCUUAAUCUGACCCGGUUUUGUGAUAAUGUCAUCAUCCAUCGCUGCCUGGGGUUGUGGGGAGGGGAGGUUAAACUCCUCCCUCGCACUCCAGCGCUCCCCUGCCACUGCUUUAUCUCUGCAGAAGCUGCGUUCGAGUGCAAUUCACUUUGUUAUUAAUUUCUUUUUACACAGAGCCUUUUCAAGUGCCUGGGAGCGGGGCUGGUGUCACGGAGAGGCUGCACAGCCCGGCAGCUGCAGUGCUGGAGUGCCGCUUGAACAGCCAGCUCCUCCAAGGGCAGCAGGCAGAGCUGAGAGCCUGCUCACCCUGCUCACCCUGCACGGUGAAACAGCCCCGUGCAGAUGGGUCUGGACUGCAGGAUUUCUUCUUCAGCAGGUUUCAGGGCUGGAUCAGGGAUGGGAUUGCCUCACCCUCGCACCCCAUGGGGACCUGCUGCACCCUGGGGACAGCUCAGUGACAGAGGCAGAUCAGGGCUGGGUGGCCGUGGCCCGUGUGUGUCCCUUCAGCAGGUGAUGUGUCUCGGUGAGCCCAGGGCUGGAGGAGCGUCUGCAUUGCUGCACUGGCCCUUUCUCAGCUGUGUGGAUCCCCCGUGCCUGCAAUCCCCAGGGAAUCCACCCACACACGGCUGCAUUCCCCGCUGGAGAAAAGCUGGUGGAGGGCCAGCAGCCUGGGGGAGCCUGGGAGGGGGUCCUGAGGUACCCCAAAGGUACCACUGUCCCCCCCAGCCCACGCUGCCACGGCUUGUGCUGGCCCUGGGGACUGGCUGUGCUGGGACCAUUGGUGUGGGUUUUAUGUUCGUUUAA